UACGUAGGGUGCGAGCGUUAAUCGGAAUUACUGGGCGUAAAGCGUGCGCAGGCGGCGCGUUAAGACAGGUGUGAAAGCCCCGAGCUUAACUUGGGAAUUGCGCUUGUGACUGGCGUGCUGGAGUGUGGCAGAGGGAGGUGGAAUUCCACGUGUAGCAGUGAAAUGCGUAGAGAUGUGGAGGAACACCGAUGGCGAAGGCAGCCGCCUGGGCCAGCACUGACGCUCAUGCACGAAAGCGUAGGGAGCAAACAGG
rnacentral:rRNA from 1 species